GACGAACGCUGGCGGCGUGCUUAACACAUGCAAGUCGAACGGAAAGGCCCUGCUUUUGUGGGGUGCUCGAGUGGCGAACGGGUGAGUAACACGUGAGUAACCUGCCCUUGACUUUGGGAUAACUUCAGGAAACUGGGGCUAAUACCGGAUAGGAGCUCCUGCUGCAUGGUGGGGGUUGGAAAGUUUCGGCGGUUGGGGAUGGACUCGCGGCUUAUCAGCUUGUUGGUGGGGUAGUGGCUUACCAAGGCUUUGACGGGUAGCCGGCCUGAGAGGGUGGCCGGACACAUUGGGACUGCGUUACCACACAGACUCCUACGGGAGGCAGCAGUAGGGCAUAUUGCACCAUGAGCAGAAGCCUGAUGCAGCAACGCCGCGUGCGAGGUGGCGGCCUUCGGGUUGUAAACCGCUUUCGCCUGUGACGAAGCAUGAGUAGCAGUAAUGGGUAGAGAAGCACCGGCUAACUACGUG
rnacentral:rRNA from 1 species